rnacentral:rRNA from 1 species
AACGAACGCUGGCGGCAUGCCUAACACAUGCAAGUCGAACGAAACCUUCGGGUCUAGUGGCGCACGGGUGCGUAACGCGUGGGAACCUGCCCUUAGGUUCGGAAUAACUCCCCGAAAGGGGUGCUAAUACCGGAUAAUGUCUUCGGACCAAAGAUUUAUCGCCUUUGGAUGGGCCCGCGUUGGAUUAGCUAGUUGGUAGGGUAAAAGCCUACCAAGGCGACGAUCCAUAGCUGGUCUGAGAGGAUGAUCAGCCACACUGGGACUGAGACACGGCCCAGACUCCUACGGGAGGCAGCAGUGGGGAAUAUUGGACAAUGGGCGAAAGCCUGAUCCAGCUAUGCCGGGUGAGUGAUGAAGGCCUGAGGGUUGUAAAGCUCUUUUACCUGGGAUGAUAAUGACAGUACCGGGAGAAUAAGCCCCGGCUAACUCCGUG